CUCCUGCUCCCCCAGCUCCCACCCCCUGCUUCUUGUUUCACCGGUCGAAGGAGAACGUGCCAACUCUAACAGCACUGUCCGAGGGAAAGGAAAAUUAACACCAGCUUUACUUUUGUGCAUUCAGGACCCUGUCCAAGAAGGCCACGAGAGUAAAAAGAAGGAAGAAUGAAGUACAAACGGGAAGGACUAUUCAUAGGGCAAAAUCUACCUCGACUAUGCUUUAAGAUGAAAAUAUUAUUCUGGGGAAGUUCCAACAUAUUGUCCUGGCCUCAGAGUCCUUCCACAGGGUGAGGUGCUGAGUUCCUUUCAUGGCUAGCAACUGAAGCAAGGCUUCCCGAUGCUCACUUCUUCCCAGAUUCAGGUCAUUAAGGUUUUUUUCACCGUCUUGUGAAGCUGAGCGAUCUGGUCCUGCCCUGUUUUCCUAGCUGAGAAUGGUGAUGAGUGGCAGGCCCAUGCUAGUGCAGCGCCUGCUGCCUUCCUUAGAGCUGUGACUCCUGUGUUAAAGGAUGGAGCUGGACCAAGACCCUGGAACCAAUAAUUGCAAUCAUUGCCAAGUUGCUUUGAAAUUCAGUGGAGCCAAAACAGCACCCGUUCCUUCAAACCACAUUAUAGAGAGUGACUUGCUACUUUGAGCAAUUUGGACAGCGGGAUCCUCCCCUCAUGGGGAAAACACAAGGAAGUUAAAAAUGGAAAGACAUCUUGAAGGUGUUUCUUAAUAUGCUGUGGAAACCAAGGAAGAAUUGUUUAGAUAAGCACUGAAUUUGCUGCCUGUCCAGCCCACUUUGUGCUCUGCCCACGCCCUCGCAGGUUGGGGAACAGUUGCAAGGAGGCGAUGGGAUGGAUGAGGCAAUCUGAUCUACAUGGUCCUCCUGCGUUUUCUUCAUUGUCUAAAUGUCCUGGGGGAAAGGUAAACUCAACAUAGACAUGACUGAACAUAAUAUAAAGUGAUUUAAGAUGGAUUUAGAUUAAAUAUCAGUAGAAGGGAGUGCGGAAUAAGCAUAUUUGCUCUGGUUGUCAGUCAGGCUGGGCUCAGUUACCAUAGUCCUUAGGUAACUAGUUCCAAGGUAACUCAGGCCUUCCAUCCUAUAACAUAAUCAUGGGACAGGCUGACUGUCAACAUAGCCUACACCUAACGGAGAGGCUCUCAGAGCUGCUCUUUGUUGUAAAUUGCCCCUCUUGAUUCACAUUUUAAAAAUGCAGUUUCUCUAACAGAGCAGCAGUAGUUUGUUGAAACAUUGGACUCAAUUGCUGCACAACCAAAAUAACACUCCCCAAGUUCUCCUCCCCAUUUAGCAUGGCCACCAGUGUUUACUGUAUGAAUUCAGCACAACCGCAAACUGGAUAUUUUUUCCUUUUGUCUUUUCCCCAGCUUAGAUGCGAUUUGCACAUAGGACAAAGGGAGGGGAUACCUCCUUUGCAUGUAUUUUAGCAACCAAAUAGUUUAGUCUUUUGUUCACAAACAAGCUGCUGCUUCUUUUCUCCCCGUCCUUGUUUUUGGAGGCUAUCCCACAUUUCAGCUCAUGCUAACCAGAGCUAUAUUACAUCUGGCAAUGUCCCUGUGAUUGCUUAGGCAGCUGGAACAAGUUAGAUUGCAUUGUUUCCUAUGACUUCCCCUUGCAUAUCAGUUGCCAUUACUCCACCUCUGCUGGAACGCUUUUCCAUCUAUGUUCUCUCCUUCUGUUCUCUGCAAACUGCCAGAAGUUUUCACCAUUUCUUCAUUUCCACUGUGAAGCACAUAGAAGGCCAAAUAUCCAAAAGCAGACACUAAGGAAAAUAUAGCAUAGCUUUUGGACCAAAGCAAUACUGAUUACAAUAAAUGCUACUGUACUACUUACUGCACUUGGGCCUGUCCCUGUUAAAUAAGGGCAUUUCUCUUUCCUGAGGGAGGACAAUGUAAGAUGCUUUUCAGUCAUUCUUUUUUUAGUUUACAAACCUGAACACUUCCAGACAGUGGCCUAAACCCCAGGUCCACUGUUCAUGUAAAGCAGAGGUGAUGUUAGUAGGAAGGCUUUGGCAGAUGAUGACUUUGUGAGGGGCAGCUCCCCAAGAUCUCUCUCCGUAUAUGAAGUGCUCUUUGUCUCAGGAGUGUUGAUGUGAAGGUACAUCCCUGUAAAUCCAGCCUGAGUGAGCCACCUUCUCUGUCCUCUCUGAGAGCUGGGAGUGAAUGAGAGAAUUGGUUCAGUUUCUGUCAUGAGACACAGCCACUAGUUCAUGUUUCCCUCGUGCCAUCACAUGCUGCUUCCUCCUUCCCUGCUAGGUGUGCCUGCUGGCCAGAGGCCGGGCCCCAGCCUGGGUGGCCUUUGCAGCUGAUGCUACCAUAGUUCAAGUUAUUGUUGCCCUGCGGCACCUGUCUAAAAGCCGCUUCAUCACCCCAGUUUGCACCUCUGGAUCAUGGCUGGAGCUACCAUGAAGGAUUGUGUUUUUCCCUGGCAACACUGUGAGCUGUGGGCUGGAGGCUGUAUUUCCUAAUUGCGAUCAUUUAUGGUUACAAAAGAAAAAAAGGCAUUGCAUUUGAUGUAGCAUGGGUAACGUGGAAGAUGUAUACAUUUUUUAUAAAGUACAGAUACACCCUAACCAUUAAUUUCUGGUCCAGAUUUGGAUUACUAUUGUUUAUUUGUUAAGUGCCAACAAUGUGCUCAGAGCUGUAGAAGACUCGAACUGAAGACAAUCCCAGCCCUCAAGAACUUGGAUCUGAAAUUCUCCAAAAGCCAGAAGAGGGUUUAGAUCAGGUGUUCCAGUUCAGGCUCAUCCCCAUUAUGAAGUGGUGCUGAAAAAGUCCAGAUGCUUAAUAAAUAAUAGCUGCAUUUUCUUGUAAAAAUGUAACAUUUAUUGUAAAUGACUAAUUUUUCUAAUGAAUAUUUUGGAAGUUACGUCCAUGUGGAGAAACUAUAAACUGCAAUAAAUUGCACAGGGGUUGCCUGUUGUUUCUAGGGCCUAAAAAGAAUGGAAACUCUUGGCCAAGAUGAUGAAGAACUUUCAGAGAAGCCAGGGAGUGAGUGCCGACAUGGUGUAAUCUUAGGCAUGCAUUAAAGGUUUCAGGCUACAUUAUCUGUGUAAGUGCUGGGCAGACACGGACUGAGGCACCA